rnacentral:rRNA from 1 species
GACGAACGCUGGCGGCGUGCUUAACACAUGCAAGUCGAACGGGAUAUAUUCGGGAGUAAUCCUGGGUAUAUCUAGUGGCGGACGGGUGCGUAACGCGUGAACAAUCUGUCCCCUCGAGGGGGAUAACAUCUGGAAACAGAUGCUAAUACCGCAUGGGACCACGAGACCGCAUGGUCUUGAGGUGAAAGGGCUUCGGCCCGCGAGAGGGUGAGUUCGCGUCUGAUUAGCUAGUUGGUGGGGUAACGGCCCACCAAGGCGACGAUCAGUAGCCGAUCUGAGAGGAUGACCGGCCACACUGGAACUGAGAAACGGUCCAGACUCCUACGGGAGGCAGCAGUGGGGAAUAUUGGGCAAUGGGCGAAAGCCUGACCCAGCAACGCCGCGUGAGGGAAGAAGGUUUUCGGAUCGUAAACCUCUGUCGCAGGGGACGAGUAGAUGACGGUACCCUGUGAGGAAGCUCCGGCUAACUACGUGCCAGCAGCCGCCGUAAAAC